rnacentral:misc_RNA from 1 species
UCCGGUUUGUCACCGGCAGUCUCAUUAGAGUGCCCUUUCGUAGCAACUAAUGACAAGGGUUGCGCUCGUUGCGGGACUUAACCCAACAUCUCACGACACGAGCUGACGACAGCCAUGCAGCACCUGUGCGUCGGUUCUCUUUCGAGCACCCCCACAUCUCUGUAGGGUUCCGACCAUGUCAAGGGUAGGUAAGGUUUUUCGCGUUGCAUCGAAUUAAUCCACAUCAUCCACCGCUUGUGCGGGUCCCCGUCAAUUCCUUUGAGUUUUAAUCUUGCGACCGUACUCCCCAGGCGGUCUACUUCACGCGUUAGCUGCGUUACUGAGUCAAUUAAGCCCCAACAACUAGUAGACAUCGUUUAGGGCGUGGACUAC